rnacentral:rRNA from 1 species
GAUGAACGCUGGCGGCGUGCUUAACACAUGCAAGUCGAACGGUGAGGCACAGCUUUCUCUGUGGAUCCGUGGCGAACGGGUGAGUAACACGUGAGCAACCUGCCCCUUACUCUUGGGUAUACGCUGGAAACGGCGUCUAAAACUGGGUAUGAGCUGCGACCGCAUGGUCAGCGGUUGGAAAGAUUUUUCGGUCUGGGAUGGGCUCACGGCCUAUCCGCUUGUUGGUUGGGUAAUUGCUCUCCAAGGCGUCGACGGGUAGCCGGCCUGAGAGGGUGACCGGCCACAAUGGGACUGAGACAACGCCCAGACUCCUAACGGAGGCAGCAGGUGGGAAUAUUGCACAAAGGGCCAAAGGCUGAAGCAGGAACGGCGCGGGGGGGAAGACGGCCUUCGGGGUGGAAACCUCUUUUAGCAGGGAAGAAGCGAAAGGGACGGUACCUGCAGAAAGAGCGACGGCUAACUACGUG